rnacentral:rRNA from 1 species
CGGUACGUACUGGCAUUGUUGGUUUCUCCCUUCUGACGAACCAUGAUGUCAUUUAUUUGGUGUUGUGGGGAAUCAGGACUGUUACUUUGAAAAAAUUAGAGUGUUUAAAGCAGGCUCACGCUUGAAUACAUUAGCAUGGAAUAAUGAAAUAGGACGUUUGAUUCUAUUUUGUUGGUUUCUAGGAUCGACGUAAUGAUUAAUAGGGAUAGUUGGGGGCAUUAGUAUUCAAUUGUCAGAGGUGAAAUUCUUGGAUUUAUUGAAGACUAACUACUGCGAAAGCAUUUGCCAAGGAUGUUUUCAUUAAUCAAGAACGAAAGUUAGGGGAUCGAAGACGAUCAGAUACCGUCGUAGUCUUAACCAUAAACUAUGCCGACUAGGGAUCGGAUGAUGUUAAUUUUUUAAUGACUCAUUCGGCACCUUACG